AUUCGUUGGGCCAAAGGCCCAGACUUUUAAUUAGCCUACUCAAUCUCCAAACGACGGUCCAAAUUGGUGACUCCAAGACCUAACCGUCUCCUUCAACGGCAUCGCGAUAACGGCCAUAGUUGCGGCGGUGGAAGCCCCGAUGUCUAAGCUCUCUACUUCAUAACCAUCUAAGAACCUGCUCAAACAGGAGCCAAAUCUCAUUUUGCGGUGGACCUCGCAUUACGAAUGAGGGACAACAACCCGCCGGCAUCCUCCCUAUCCAGAACUCAGACUUCAAUCUCGGCAGCGACGGCGGCGGGGGGAACUAUGAUCUCGGGGAUUCACUUCCCCUGUUCGAGCAUGGAAGCGGGAACACUUGUGUCGAAAAAAGGGAGAAAAAGUUGGAAGGAACUCGCGUCCCCAAUUCGUCUUCGUAACCCAAUCUUGAAGCGAUAAUUUAUGCGAAUAACAAAAUGAAUGAAUAGCAAAGACCUACCGUAUAUUGCAUUUUCGUCGAUGACAAAGAUGACGCUUUCAGAUGCGCGUAUUGCUUCGAUUUCUCAGGUUGAUUGGGAUUGAAAUACAGGUUAGAGAAGCUUAUUGGAUAUUGAGUUUUUAUUGGAUUUUUCUUUUCUUCAAUUUAGUUUUGCAGUCGGUGUCUUGUUGCGGUUUUUAGCCAACUCUAGAAAUACCUCACGAGGGAGCGGCUGCGAGAAGCUGAAGUUAGCCUGGGAUUGAAUGGAAAGCUUAACAUCAUCAAAGAUUUGCUAGCAUGCUCUGAAUGCACUUGAGCAUCUGUUAACACCUCAACAACAUACCGACACCAUAGCUCGAGAAAUUUGAAUAACGUGAGGUUCACAUUCUUCUACACCCAUUGAUUUCAACAAACCAUUGAUAAUCUUCGCAUCCCUUGGCAACGGCGUCGACAACUUCUCCUCAUUAUCUUCCAUAGAACACACCCUACUGUGAAGUGGUUGAAGGUUCGGUUGACGGUUUUAGAAGGUUACAAAGAGGUUUAAUGCAAUGGUUGAAAAUCAAAGGGUUCUAUUGCUCUUCUGGUAGUUUUUAAUUCGUUUUAUUUCUUUUGCUCUGAUGGUAAAGAAUGAAAGAGAAAGAUUGGGCUCCAAUUUGCUGCUCUGUUGGAUGCGAGGGAGGAAUUUAAUUAAGAAAACGAUCCUACCGGUUGGAGUUGAGGAGGGUUAGUGCAAUGGUUGUGUUAUAACAUUUGGCAGGGUGGUUUAUUGGACAAAGAAAUGGAGGUUUAGAAGUUGAAUUUCAUCUUGUUCGCCAUUGAAGAAGUUAGAGGGUGGAGUCCGGUUACGGGUGCCGACGGCUAGAGGAAGUUUUUGUUGUUAGCUUUAAUGGUGUUAUGCUGUUAUUAAUUAUGUUAGUUUGGCAGUGGAUUUGGAGACCCUCCCAUCAUGCCAAAUUUGACGGAAAACGGUACUGCAUCCAGCACGCGUAGUAUUCACGAUGGAUUUCUAUUUUCUAUUCCCAAGUGAAAUGCUUUUGGCACGUCAAAAUGGCCAUGGGUUGAACGUAUGGUUGUAUGGUUGUAAUGGCUUUAUGUUGUAAUUGGAUGGAAAUGUAUGGAUUUGAAAAGUCUUAAAAGAUGAAUAAUGGAAAUUAGAUUGAAAUGCAAUUUGGAACAUGGUUUUGUAAUUUUCAUAGUUUUGGGAUUGAAUGAUUGAAUAAAAAUGCUUAAAGAUUGAAUGUAAUUGGAAAAUUAAAUUGGAGUUGAAAUGGUUUAUGAAUGGAAAUUGAGAUUUUUGAGA